CUACGGAUGCUCUAAUCACCGCAGUCUGCAAACAAGAACCCGUGGGAUCACCUUUCACGUGUUUCCCAAAACCGAAGAGAGGAGGAGGCAGUGGGAACUCGCCCUAAGAAGGGACGGUUUUGUUUCCUGUGACAGGACAGUAACAGUUUGACCCGUUGUUGGGCCAAGCUGUUUUGUGCAUAUCAUUUUACUUACUUGCAGUUACAAAUAAACCGCUGGUAACACAUACCAAUUCUA